CAAGUCGCACGAGAAAGGGAGCAAUCCUGAGUAAAGUGGCGUACGGGUGAGUAACACGUGGCAUUAUCUACCUUCUAGUGGGGAAUACCUCUGGGAAACCGGAGACAAUACCGCAUAAGCUCGUAAGAGGAAAGCAGCAAUGCGCUGGAAGAGGAGUCCGCGGCUGAUUAGCUAGUUGGCGGGGUAAUGGCCCACCAAGGCGAAGAUCGGUAGCCGGCCUGAGAGGGCUCACGGCCACACUGGCACUGAAACACGGGCCAGACUCCUACGGGAGGCAGCAGUGGGGAAUCUUGCACAAUGGAGGCAACUCUGAUGCAGCGACGCCGCGUGAGCGAUGAAGCCCUUCGGGGUGUAAAGCUCUUUCGACGGGAACGAUAAUGACGGUACCCGAAGAAGAAGCUGCGGCUAACUACGUGCCAGCAGCCGCGGUAAUACGUAGGCAGCGAGCGUUGUUCGGAAUUACUGGGCGUAAAGAGUGUGUAGGCGGUGUCCCAAGUCUGGUGUGAAAUCUCCUGGCUCAACUGGGAGGGUGCGCCGGAAACUGGGGUGCUAGAGGGUGGGAGAGGUAAGCGGAAUUCCUGGUGUAUCGGUGAAAUGCGUACAUAUCACGAGGAACACCUGUGGUGUACACAGCUUACUGGACCACUUCUGACGCUGAGACAC
rnacentral:rRNA from 1 species